rnacentral:rRNA from 1 species
CCUACGGGUGGCAGCAGUGAGGAAUAUUGGUCAAUGGGCGCAAGCCUGAACCAGCCAAGUCGCGUGAGGGAUGACGGUCCUAUGGAUUGUAAACCUCUUUUGUCGGGGAGCAAGGCCCGCCACGUGUGGCGGGAAGGAGAGUACCCGAAGAAAAAGCAUCGGCUAACUCCGUGCCAGCAGCCGCGGUAAUACGGAGGAUGCGAGCGUUAUCCGGAUUUAUUGGGUUUAAAGGGUGCGUAGGCGGUAGGUUAAGUCAGCGGUCAAAUAUCGGUGCUCAACCGCGGAAUUGCAGUUGAAACUGGAGGCCUUGAGUGCAGACAGGGAUGGCGGAAUUCAUGGUGUAGCGGUGAAAUGCUUAGAUAUCAUGAAGAACACCGAUCGCGAAGGCAAGUGUCCGAGGUGCAACUGACGCUGAGGCUCGAAAGUGCGGGUAGCAAACAGGAUUAGAUACCCUAGUAGUC